rnacentral:rRNA from 1 species
GGUUGAAGCACAUAAGGGCAUACGGUGGAUGACUUGGCAGUGAGAGCCGACGAAAGACGUUGGAGCCUGCGAUAAGCUUCGGGGAGGUGGCAACCGACCUUUGAUCCGGAGAUCUCUGAAUGGGGAAACCCCUUCGCGUGAAGCGCGAUGAUCUGACCACUGAAUACAUAGGUGGCAGAAGGGCACCUAGGGAAGUGAAACAUCUCAGUACCUAGAGGAAAAGAAACUAAAUAAAGGAUUCCCUUAGUAGUGGCGAGCGAAAUGGGAACAGUCCAAACUUUCAUAUUCAAAUUCUGCACCGAGCAAUACGCAAGUAUUACCGCGGACAGGAUGGCGGACGUGGGUCAUCGAUAUGAGAGGGUUGCGGGACGGACAUGUGCUUCCCCACGGAACACGCGGAUAGUGCUGAUGAAUAGUUGAAUCCACUGGAAAGUGGAACCAAAGACGGUGAUAGUCCGGUAAACGAAAUUCAUACGCACAUCUGGUCCAGAUCCAAAGUACGACGAGGAACGAGAAACCUCGUUGGAAGCAGGCACGACGAUGUGCCAAGACUAAAUACUCUUCCUGACCGAUAGUGAACCAGUACAGUGAUGGAACGUUGAAAAGCAGCCCGGGAGGGCGAUGAAAUAGUAUCUGAAACCGUAUGCUUACAAGGAGGUGGAGCGGCGCAAGCCGUCACACCGUUCCUAUUGAAGAAUGAGCCGACGAGUAUGCCGUACGUCGCUUGGUUAAGUCCCCGUGGGGACGAAGCCGUAGUGAAAGCGAGCCUGAAUAGGGCGUUGGUGGCGUACGCAUGACCCGAAACCCGGCGAGCUAGCCAUGGUCAGGAUGAAGCUUCGAGAAAUCGAAGUGGAGGUCCGAACUCACGAGCCGUGCAACACUCGGAGAUGAACUGUGGCUAGGGGUGAAAUUCCAAUCGAGCUGGGUGAUAGCUGGUUCUCCCUGAAAUAGAUUUUGGUCUAGCGCUGAUUAAUAACGUAACGGAGGUAGAGCACUGAAUGGGACCUGGGGCGCAAGCUUACAGUUUCCAACCAAACUCCGAAUGCCGUUACGUGUUCCCAGCAGUCAGUCCGUGGGGGCUAAGCUCCACAGGACAAGAGGGAAACAGCCCUGACCGCAGACUAAGGUCCCUAAAUUCGUACUCAGUGUAAAAGGUGGUCGGACGGCUUAUACAACCAGGAGGUUGGCUUAGAAGCAGCCAUCCUUUAAAGAAAGCGUAACAGCUCACUGGUCAAGCUGUCCGGCGCCGAAAACUUAUCGGGGCUUAAGUACGAUACCGAAGUCGCGGACUAUCGAUGAUCUUUGGAUCAUCAUAUUGGUAAGGGAGCAUUCCGAUCUGCGCCGAAGCGGAAGCCGUGAGGCACCGUGGAGCGUUCGGAAGAGAGAAUGUCGGCAUAAGUAGCAAAAAGACAGGUGAAAAUCCUGUCCACCGUAAACUCAAGGUUUCCAGGGCAACGCGAAUCGUCCCUGGGUUAGUCGGUCCUAAGGCGAGGCCGAAAGGCGUAGUCGAUGGACAGCAGGUUAAUAUUCCUGCACUUGCGUAGUGUUUCAAUGGAGUGACGCAUCCUUCAACUGAUCGAGAUUCCCGGAAUGAAUCUUCGGGCACUCAGGGGUGACUGGUAGGCAAAUCCGCCAGUCAUAAGCCUCGGGGUGAGCGCAAGCCUAUCGAAGGAUAGGCAAGGGUCGGGACUGGGGUGCCUAGAAAAACUUCUAGGGCUAAUGUUACGGAAACCGUACCGGAAACCGACACAGGUGAGUGGGCAUAAGUGUGCCAAGGUGUACGAGAGAAACCAAGUUUAGGAACUCGGCAAUACAACGGCCGUAACCUAGGGAUAAGGCCUGCCAGCGCAAGCUGGCCGCAGCUAAAGACGCUUUCCGACUGUUUACCAAAAACACAGCUUCCUGCUAAACCGCAAGGUGACGUAUAGGAAGUGAUGCCUGGCCAGUGUCAGAACGUUAAGGGGAGAGGUCAUGGGGUAACCCGGCAGCCUUGAGCCGAAGCGCUGAUGAACGCCGGCGAUAACUAUAAUCGUCCUAAGGUAGCGAAAUUCCUUGACGGGUGAGUUCCGUCCCGCACGAAUGGCAUAACGAGAGAGCGACUGUCUCAACUUGGUACUCGGCGAAAUUGCAAGUGGGGUGAAGAUGCCCUGUACGCGCAGUCAGACGAAAAGACCCCGUGAAGCUUUACUACAAUUUGCUAUUGGGUAUCGAUCUUUCAUGUUCAGUGUAGGUGGGAGCCUUCGGGCGCCGAUGAGACACCACCCUUGGACUAUCGAUAUUCUUACUAUGAUCCGUAUAACCGGAUUGUGGAACAGUAGCUGAUGGGUAGUUUAACUGGGGCGGUUGCCUCCCAAAUGGUAACGGAGGCGUUCACAAAGGUAAGCUAGGCGCGGAUGGAAAUCGCGCUGGUUCCGCAAUGGGAUAAGCUUGCUUAACUGCAAGACCAACAAGUCGAGCAGAUACGAAAGUAGGACAUAGUGAUCCGACCGUACGAAAUCGGACGGCGGAAGCUCAACGGAUAAAAGCUACUCCGGGGAUAACAGGCUGAUCUGGUCCAAGAGUCCACAUCGACGACCAGGUUUGGCACCUCGAUGUCGGCCCAUCGCAUCCUGGGGCUGGAGAAGGUCCCAAGGGUUAGGCUGUUCGCCUAUUAAAGCGGUACGCGAGCUGGGUUCAGAACGUCGUGAGACAGUUCGGUCUCCUGUCUACUGUGCGCGUGGAAAGUUGCGGAAACUGUUCUCUAGUACGAGAGGACCGAGAACAACGAACCUCUAGUGUGCCGGCUGUCCUACCAAGGGCACCGCCGGGUAGCUACGUUCGGCACGGAUAAACGCUGAAAGCAUCUAAGCGUGAAACCGUUUCCAAGAUUAACUUUCGUCAUAGGACCCUCCGAGACUAGGAGGUUGAUAGGUGGUAGGUGUACGGACCGAGAGGUCUUUAGCCGAGCCAUACUAAUCGUCCAAUGCUUCCACCAU